GGAUCUUCUGAUGAGAAAACUUAAACAAAAUGACAUCUCAUGAUUUGUUGUAUUUAAGUCUCUGAUGAUC
rnacentral:snoRNA from 1 species